GAUGAACGCUGGCGGCGUGCUUAACACAUGCAAGUCGAACGAAGAAGCGCAGCUUGCUGUGUGGAUUAGUGGCGAACGGGUGAGUAACUCGUGAGUAACCUGCCCUUCACUCUGGGAUAAGCCAGGGCAACUGGGCCUAAUACCGGCUAGGAGCGUCCAUCGCCUGGUGGGUGUUGGAAAGAUUGAUCGGUUUUGGAUGGACUCGCGGCUUAUCAGCUAGUUGGUGAGGUAAUGGCUCACGAAGGCGACGCCAGGUAGCCGGCCUGUGAGCGUCACCGGCCACACUGCGACUGAGACACGCAGCAGACGCCUACGGGAGGCAGCAGUGGAGAACAUGGCGGAAUGGCGGCAAGCGUGAUGCAGCGACGCCGCGUGAGGGAUGACGGCUUUCGGGUGGUAAACCUCUGUCAGUAGGGCAGAAGCGAAAGUGACGGUACCUGCAGAAGAAGCACCGGCUAACUACGUG
rnacentral:rRNA from 1 species